AUCUAACUGGAAUCUGAUAUAGAUAAAUCAAUAUCAAGGACUGAGAUUGGGAAUUGUCUUAUCCAGGAGUUGGCAACGCUGUCAGUUGCCUGCUUUCUCUUAAGCAAAACCUACUAUGUAGUAGUCUCAAAAUUUCAGCUGGGGAAGCACUUGAGUUUAGUUACGCAUUUUGUAUCCUACAGGGGAAGCUGAAAACUAAACUUCAUCUUCAGCUUGGAGCACUGAAAGAGGAGUUUAACUCCUCGUGGGAAUGCAAGCCAUACACAAUGAUACCAGUUUUUUACUCGUCCAGACAGGACUGGACUGCCAUGGAAGAUACCUCUCAAGAGAGCUUUGAGGGAUCACAAUUAAUUCCCCUAACUGGGAAACAGUAUAAAAUGAAGGAAUACAGGGUGAAAUCCCCUAUACUCUUCUUUCUUCAAACCUCCUUACCUCUCUCCUACCUGCUCUACAACUCGAUGUUUAAAGAAACUAUUUGGAAAGGCCUUAAAGUGUAAAAACAAGAAACAAGAAGCAAGAAGAAAAAAGAAAUUGCACAGACUAAAGUGGAAGGGAAAUCUCUUGACAGUAGAGAGAGGUGCUUAAAGCAAGAUAAACAGGAAAGAAGAAGAAAACUUU